GGAGUUAGGAAAUGUAGGAGUGUUAAUACCAUUUCUAUUUGACUAAGGCUCCAGAGGAAGCCACGGCUAACUCUGUGCCAGCAGCCGCGGUAAUACAGAGGUGGCAAGCGUUGUUCGGAAUUAUUGGGCGUAAAGAGCACGUAGGCGGACCUGCCAGUCAGAUGUGAGAGCCUUCCGCUCAACGGAAGAACGGCAGCUGAUACUACAGGGCUAGAGUACGGGAGGGGAGAGUG
rnacentral:rRNA from 1 species